AAAUUGAAGAGUUUGAUCAUGGCUCAGAUUGAACGCUGGCGGCAGGCCUAACACAUGCAAGUCGAACGGUAACAGGAAGCAGCUUGCUGCUUCGCUGACGAGUGGCGGACGGGUGAGUAAUGUCUGGGAAACUGCCUGAUGGAGGGGGAUAACUACUGGAAACGGUGGCUAAUACCGCAUAACGUCGCAAGACCAAAGAGGGGGACCUUCGGGCCUCUUGCCAUCAGAUGUGCCCAGAUGGGAUUAGCUUGUUGGUGAGGUAACGGCUCACCAAGGCGACGAUCCCUAGCUGGUCUGAGAGGAUGACCAGCCACACUGGAACUGAGACACGGUCCAGACUCCUACGGGAGGCAGCAGUGGGGAAUAUUGCACAAUGGGCGCAAGCCUGAUGCAGCCAUGCCGCGUGUAUGAAGAAGGCCUUCGGGUUGUAAAGUACUUUCAGCGGGGAGGAAGGUGUUGUGGUUAAUAACCACAGCAAUUGACGUUACCCGCAGAAGAAGCACCGGCUAACUCCGUGCCAGCAGCCGCGGUAAUACGGAGGGUGCAAGCGUUAAUCGGAAUUACUGGGCGUAAAGCGCACGCAGGCGGUCUGUCAAGUCGGAUGUGAAAUCCCCGGGCUCAACCUGGGAACUGCAUUCGAAACUGGCAGGCUUGAGUCUUGUAGAGGGGGGUAGAAUUCCAGGUGUAGCGGUGAAAUGCGUAGAGAUCGGGAGGAAUACCGGUGGCGAAGGCGGCCCCCUGGACAAAGACUGACGCUCAGGUGCGAAAGCGUGGGGAGCAAACAGGAUUAGAUACCCUGGUAGUCCACGCCGUAAACGAUGUCUACUUGGAGGUUGUGCCCUUGAGGCGUGGCUUCCGGAGCUAACGCGUUAAGUAGACCGCCUGGGGAGUACGGCCGCAAGGUUAAAACUCAAAUGAAUUGACGGGGGCCCGCACAAGCGGUGGAGCAUGUGGUUUAAUUCGAUGCAACGCGAAGAACCUUACCUGGUCUUGACAUCCACAGAACUUUCCAGAGAUGGAUUGGUGCCUUCGGGAACUGUGAGACAGGUGCUGCAUGGCUGUCGUCAGCUCGUGUUGUGAAAUGUUGGGUUAAGUCCCGCAACGAGCGCAACCCUUAUCCUUUGUUGCCAGCGAUUAGGUCGGGAACUCAAAGGAGACUGCCAGUGAUAAACUGGAGGAAGGUGGGGAUGACGUCAAGUCAUCAUGGCCCUUACGACCAGGGCUACACACGUGCUACAAUGGCGCAUACAAAGAGAAGCGACCUCGCGAGAGCAAGCGGACCUCAUAAAGUGCGUCGUAGUCCGGAUUGGAGUCUGCAACUCGACUCCAUGAAGUCGGAAUCGCUAGUAAUCGUGGAUCAGAAUGCCACGGUGAAUACGUUCCCGGGCCUUGUACACACCGCCCGUCACACCAUGGGAGUGGGUUGCAAAAGAAGUAGGUAGCUUAACCUUCGGGAGGGCGCUUACCACUUUGUGAUUCAUGACUGGGGUGAAGUCGUAACAAGGUAACCGUAGGGGAACCUGCGGUUGGAUCACCUCCUUACCUUAAAGAA
rnacentral:rRNA from 1 species